rnacentral:rRNA from 1 species
GUAAUAGCUCACUGGUCGAGUCGGCCUGCGCGGAAGAUGUAACGGGGCUAAACCAUGCACCGAAGCUGCGGCAGCGACGCUUAUGCGUUGUUGGGUAGGGGAGCGUUCUGUAAGCCUGCGAAGGUGUACUGUGAGGUAUGCUGGAGGUAUCAGAAGUGCGAAUGCUGACAUAAGUAACGAUAAAGCGGGUGAAAAGCCCGCUCGCCGGAAGACCAAGGGUUCCUGUCCAACGUUAAUCGGGGCAGGGUGAGUCGACCCCUAAGG